GAGGAAAGGAAACGAAAAGCCUUUAAAAGGCCUAUUCCUACUGAAGCAAACCCAACAGAAACUUCAAGUCUCCAAGAGCCAAUGGAUCGUAAACCAGCAGCCAAAAAAUUUAAAUUGGACCGAUCCUUCUUGUACAAGAUGCCAAAAACUAAUGAUAAAGAAGACAAACAGUUGGUGCCAAACAGAGACAACAAGAUAAAAAACCUUAAAAGGCCCCUGCAUAAUGCAGAUGAAAGUGAUGCACCACCAAAGAAAACAUGUCUGCGCUGAGAAAAAAAACAGCUUCUCACCAGGCAUAUACCCAAUCCAAGUGAAAUGUACCCCAGGAGAACAGGAAAUGAGAAGAACCCUGGAAAACCUAAAAUUUAGCUUCCCAUGGGAGAAGGUUUCAUUUUAUGUCUUCUGAAGCCCCAGUGGUUGGAUGUCCCAGCAUUGUACAAUGAGACAAUUUCCUGUUAUUUUUAAUAGUAACUUUCCAUUGUUGUCAUGACUGGGCAAGAGUAAGGGCCGUGACACAACACGCAAAUUUCAAGUCUGGGACAAGCUGUUAGAACCAAUAAUACAAAUGGUAACUGCGUGACUAAUCUCCCCGUGUGUCACGGCCCUAACGCAUGGAAAAGAAACAACAGAAUGCUGGGGAUUUAUCAUCACUGCCCAGGACAUUCCCCUUGGAUCAUAAGGUCUGGGAUACCUUGAGGCAGCCUUCCACUAAAGAAUUCAAAAAGCUGCUUUGUUCUACUGUGUCAUGGACUUCGUGAGCGUGUAAUAUUGGCAGCAAAACGACCCAAAGCGCGGAAGGUGGCCUUCUCCCUAUACAGCGAAACUACUGAAAACUAUAG